UCUAAUUAGACACUUUUCCUCAACCGCAAGUACCUCUAAUCUAAUUGCUCUGCGUCAUCCCCUUCACCUCCACCCUAACAUUUUCCCUCUUCCACCACCGUCUCCGGCAUCGCUCUGCCACGCAUCUACCCAUCACCUCAGCAAUCGCGAACAAAGUGCAAGAUUCUCAAAUAUUUUGUAUAUAUUGAAGCCGUCUAGGGGAGGAUUCUCAAAUAUCUUUUACUGCUCAACUCAACGGUAAGCGCAUUUUCCUUUACAUUCAACGUUCUUCCUGCAUUAUAUUCGUCAAAUGAAGUUUUCUGUAACUUGAUGGUUCUGGACAUCCGACGAUUUGAAUUGUGUUGUGGGAUUUGGAUUAUGAUCGAUAUUUGUUUUUUUAUUUAAAGAAA
rnacentral:lncRNA from 1 species